GAUGAACGCUAGCGGGAGGCCUAACACAUGCAAGCCGAGCGGUAUUUGUUCUUCGGAACAGAGAGAGCGGCGCACGGGUGCGGAACACGUGUGCAACCUGCCUUUAUCUGGGGGAUAGCCUUUCGAAAAGAAGAUUAAUACCCCAUAAUAUAUUGAGUGGCAUCAUUUGAUAUUGAAAACUCCGGUGGAUAGAGAUGGGCACGCGCAAGAUUAGAUAGUUGGUGAGGUAACGGCUCACCAAGUCAAUGAUCUUUAGGGGGCCUGAGAGGGUGAUCCCCCACACUGGUACUGAGACACGGACCAGACUCCUACGGGAGGCAGCAGUGAGGAAUAUUGGACAAUGGGUUAGCGCCUGAUCCAGCCAUCCCGCGUGAAGGACGACGGCCCUAUGGGUUGUAAACUUCUUUUGUAUAGGGAUAAACCUACUCUCGUGAGAGUAGCUGAAGGUACUAUACGAAUAAGCACCGGCUAACUCCGUG
rnacentral:rRNA from 1 species